rnacentral:lncRNA from 1 species
GUCUCUAGACUGUGAGCUUGUUGUGGGCAGGGAAUAUAUCUGUUUGUAUUGUAUUGUACUGUCCCAAGCACUUAGUACAAUGUUUUGCAAGCAGUAAGCGCUCAAUAAAUAUGAUUGAAUGAAUGAAUGAAUGAAUAUUCCUUUGCCUCCCAAGGUGAGAAGCUCCUCUUUAUUUUGGCAUUCUCCUAAGCAGAUCUUUCCGAUGCCGGCAGGCGGCAGUUGGCUCUCUGGAUAAAGGCGUACACCUGCCCCGUUCAGUGAUGAGUUCCCCACAGAUGCAUCAACUGUAGAGGGAAAGUCAAGAUCCAGAAGGUGUCGAUCCCUUCCCAGUAGGAAGGAGAAAGAAGGAAGAAGAAGGAAGAACCCAUGUAAAGGGCGGUGGUAUCAGGUCAAGAACAGAUGGGCAGGAGUGGGGCAACAGCAGCAGUUGAUGAGAAAGGAAAAUGUCACACAACAUAGAUCUCAGCUAGAACAACGCUGGAAAACUCAGUGAGGUAAGAACUUAAAA